AACGAACGCUGGCGGCGUGCCUAACACAUGCAAGUCGAACGGGAUUCGGAGCUUGCUCCGAUGAGAGUGGCGCACGGGUGAGUAACGCGUAGCUAAUCUGCCUGAUGAUCUGGGAUAACAGUUCGAAAGGACUGCUAAUACCGGAUAAGCCCACGGAGACCUUGGUCUUUGCGGGAAAAGGGGGGCACCUUCGGGCCUUCCGUCAUCAGAUGAGUCUGCGUACCAUUAGCUAGUUGGUAGGGUAAAGGCCUACCAAGGCGACGAUGGUUAGCUGGUCUGAGAGGAUGAUCAGCCACACUGGAACUGGGACACGGUCCAGACUCCUACGGGAGGCAGCAGUGGGGAAUUUUGCGCAAUGGGGGAAACCCUGACGCAGCAACGCCGCGUGAGUGAUGAAGGCUCUUGGGUCGUAAAGCUCUGACAGAGGGAAAGAAGUGUAUGGUGGUUAAUACCCAUUGUACUUGACGGUACCCUCAAAGGAAGCACCGGCUAACUCCGUGCCAGCAGCCGCGGUAAUAC
rnacentral:rRNA from 1 species